UUCAUAAUAUUUUUUAAAAAUAUGAAAAGCAAAGUGGCAUUGUUGAAUGGGUUGCGAAAAUUCUUCAAAGUUAAGGAUUUGGAACAAGCGCGCCAAUGUUUAGGCAUGAAUUUAGAACGAGGAAAAGAAGGUUACGUUGAUGCUGACUGGGGAGGCGACAUUAGAGACAGAAAGUCUUAUUCGGGGUACAUGUUCAAAGUUGGACCGAAUAUGAUAUCCUGGGAGUGCAGAAAGCAGAGCUGCGUGUCACUUUCUUCAAGUGAAUCAGAAUUUGUCGCAUUGUCUGAAGCAUCCAAGGAAGCUGUAUACCUCCAGAGGUUAGUGAGUCACGUAUUCAAAAAGGGGAACUCUAAGGACGUCAAGUUGUUUGUAGACAACCAGAGCGCCAUGGCGUUGGCGAACAAUCCUGUUUCUCACCGGCGGACGAAGCAUAUCGACAUUAGGUACAAUUUCGUUCGUCAUUGCGUCAAUGAGAAGUUGAUUCAGUUGGAGUACAUCCCGACUGAAGAUAACUUGGCCGAUGUCUUAACUAAGCCAUUGCCCCGCGUUAAGUUUGAAAGGUGUGUGACUGGUUUAGGUUUAGACUUGAGUGCUUGAUGAUGCUGUGAGUGUUCACAUGAUGAUGGAUGGUUGCUUGAGAGGAAGUGUUGGUAGGUUGCUAUGAAACCGUUGUUGUUGUAAUGUCUGUACAAUCAACCGUCAGUCAUCUGAUUUUAUGUAUCAAAUAUAUUCCUCGAUAUUCCA